rnacentral:rRNA from 1 species
GUCUCCCUGGGGGUUUAACCCCCCUAAAGAGCCGUUAGAGACCAUGACGUUGAUAGGUUCGGUGUGGAAGUGCGGUGACGCAUGAAGCUAACGAAUACUAAUUGCUCGUGAGGCUUGACUAU